CAGCACUCCUAAUCUUGACAUGAAGGUUUCUCCAGAGUUCACUCGACCCAGUCUUUUGCGCCGAUCUAUGUAUUGUCGAGAUCUUGAUCUUGUGUCUGUUAAGAUGUCGUAAAUUCGGGGGGGGGGAUGGACGGGGGGAGUGCGAGAAAAAUAUUAAAUUGCGCGUGCACAUAUUUAUAUGGCUAUAUGCAAAUUUGACUUGAUGCAAAAUAUACGAAC